rnacentral:rRNA from 1 species
GGACCCGCACAAGCGGUGGAUGAUGUGGUUUAAUUCGAUGCAACGCGAAAAACCUUACCUACCCUUGACAUGCCUGGAAUUCUGCAGAGAUGUGGAAGUGCCCGAAAGGGAGCCAGGACACAGGUGCUGCAUGGCCGUCGUCAGCUCGUGUCGUGAGAUGUUGGGUUAAGUCCCGCAACGAGCGCAACCCUUGUCAUUAGUUGCUACGAAAGGGCACUCUAAUGAGACUGCCGGUGACAAACCGGAGGAAGGUGGGGAUGACGUCAGGUCCUCAUGGCCCUUAUGGGUAGGGCUACACACGUCAUACAAUGGCCGGUACAGAGGGUUGCCAACCCGCGAGGGGGAGCCAAUCCCAGAAAACCGGUCGUAGUCCGGAUCGCAGUCUGCAACUCGACUGCGUGAAGUCGGAAUCGCUAGUAAUCGCGGAUCAGCUUGCCGCGGUGAAUACGUUCCCGGGUCUU